rnacentral:rRNA from 1 species
UACGUAGGUGGCGAGCGUUAUCCGGAUUAUUGGGCGUAAAGAGCGCGCAGGUGGUCGAUUAAGUCUGAUGUGAAAGCCCACGGCUUAACCGUGGAGGGUCAUUGGAAACUGGUCGACUUGAGUGCAGAAGAGGGAAGUGGAAUUCCAUGUGUAGCGGUGAAAUGCGUAGAGAUAUGGAGGAACACCAGUGGCGAAGACGGCUUCCUGGUCUGUAACUGACACUGAGGCGCGAAAGCGUCGGGAGCAAACAGGGAUUAGAUA